GUAACCUUCACCUAACACAGAAGGGUAAAGGAACUGUCCAUAAAAAAACCAGAGAAGAGCUUGUAAAACUCCCUGGAUCCUGUCUGGAGACAUAGCU
rnacentral:snoRNA from 1 species